rnacentral:rRNA from 1 species
GACAGAGGGUGCAAACGUUGCUCGGAAUUACUGGGCGUAAAGCGCGUGAGGCGGGCCUUUCAAGUCGGACGUGAAACGCCUGAGCUCAACUCAGGAACUGCAUCCGAAACUGAAGGCCUGGAGUAGUGGAGAGGGAAGCAGGAAUUCCUGGUGUAGAGGUGAAAUUCGUAGAUAUCAGGAGGAACGACCGGUGGCGAAGG